rnacentral:rRNA from 1 species
UGCAGUCGGACGGUAGCACAGAGAGCUUGCUCUUGGGUGACGAGUGGCGGACGGGUGAGUAAUGUCUGGGGAUCUGCCCGAUAGAGGGGGAUAACCACUGGAAACGGUGGCUAAUACCGCAUAACGUCGCAAGACCAAAGAGGGGGACCUUCGGGCCUCUCACUAUCGGAUGAACCCAGAUGGGAUUAGCUAGUAGGCGGGGUAAUGGCCCACCUAGGCGACGAUCCCUAGCUGGUCUGAGAGGAUGACCAGCCACACUGGAACUGAGACACGGUCCAGACUCCUACGGGAGGCAGCAGUGGGGAAUAUUGCACAAUGGGCGCAAGCCUGAUGCAGCCAUGCCGCGUGUAUGAAGAAGGCCUUCGGGUUGUAAAGUACUUUCAGCGGGGAGGAAGGCGAUGAGGUUAAUAACCCUGUCGAUUGACGUUACCCGCAGAAGAAGCACCGGCUAACUCCGUGCCAGCA